AAUAGAUACCCUGGUAGUCCACGCCGUAAACGAUGUCGACUUGGAGGUUGUUCCCUUGAGGAGUGGCUUCCGGAGCUAACGCGUUAAGUCGACCGCCUGGGGAGUACGGCCGCAAGGUUAAAACUCAAAUGAAUUGACGGGGGCCCGCACAAGCGGUGGAGCAUGUGGUUUAAUUCGAUGCAACGCGAAGAACCUUACCUACUCUUGACAUCCAGAGAACUUUCCAGAGAUGGAUUGGUGCCUUCGGGAACUCUGAGACAGGUGCUGCAUGGCUGUCGUCAGCUCGUGUUGUGAAAUGUUGGGUUAAGUCCCGCAACGAGCGCAACCCUUAUCCUUUGUUGCCAGCGGUUCGGCCGGGAACUCAAAGGAGACUGCCAGUGAUAAACUGGAGGAAGGUGGGGAUGACGUCAAGUCAUCAUGGCCCUUACGAGUAGGGCUACACACGUGCUACAAUGGCAUAUACAAAGAGAAGCGACCUCGCGAGAGCAAGCGGACCUCAUAAAGUAUGUCGUAGUCCGGAUUGGAGUCUGCAACG
rnacentral:rRNA from 1 species